UACGUAGGGUGCGAGCGUUAAUCGGAAUUACUGGGCGUAAAGCGUGCGCAGGCGGUUCGUUAAGUCAGCUGUGAAAGCCCCGGGCUCAACCUGGGAAUUGCGGUUGAAACUGGCGAACUAGAAUCUGGCAGAGGGGGGUGGAAUUCCACGUGUAGCAGUGAAAUGCGUAGAGAUGUGGAGGAACACCAGUGGCGAAGGCGACUCUUUGGCCUGUAACUGACACUGAGGCGCGAAAGCGUGGGGAGCAAACAGG
rnacentral:rRNA from 1 species